AUAAGGUGGUUGGAAUUUUUACAAUUGGAGCAUCUAUUGCAUUGAUUGCGUAUGCUGUAAAAUGUGAAACUAAGACAGGUUUUGCCAUAAUUGCUCUCGUAAUAGUUGUCAUCGGAUUGCUAAUUACUAUAAUUGGGAUGGGCCUGGCCGCGAUAAAGAAACUUAGUCGAAAUGAGACAAGAAACUUCACCUUCAGUUACCUCUUCCUUAUUUUAUUGUAUGCCAUAGCAGACGCUGUUUCCAAUGAGUAUAAGAAAGUUUGAGUGAUCUUAUGGUUGUGAAGAUUUGUUUAUCUAGUCCAAAGAUUUGGUGAUGGUUAUGUUAGGUGUGUAGUGUAGAUACGUGUGUGCAAACCUAAACUAACCAAUUUUUGUUUUUGCCUUGUGAUUCUCAAAAACUCACAUAUCAUGGGUAUACUAUGGUGGUUGUUGACGGUUGCUAUAGUUUUAUUAUGGUAAUCAAUCCCUUGUUGCCAUAUUUUUUCCUGCUAUAUAACUAUUUGCUGUAAAACUUUAGAUUGCAGCUCUUUUGUCAUGAACAAGUUAUGGACUAAAGUUUUAUUUCUUAGUUGAGUGUUUGGCGUGAAGGUUGUUUUGGGAACUAAUGAGUCCAAAGUUUAUUGUUCCUUGUUCUACAUUUGAUCCCUCUUGUUUUUGUUUUAUUUUUCUCUGAGAAACCAUUUGUGCCUUUUCGGUUUGUGGUGGGGAUAAAAAAUUGCAAGGCCUGAAUAGUGAGGAAGCAAUUCAGCUACAGUGGAAAUAUGAAUGUGCUUCAAGGAAGUCAAAACUUUUAUGACAAAAGAGCUGCAAUCUAAAGUUUUACAGCAAAUAGUUACAUAGCAGGAAAAAAUAUGGCAGCGAGGGAUUGAUUACCAUAAUAAAACUGUGGCAACCGUCAACAACCACCAUAGUAUACCCAUGAUAUAUGAGUUUUUGAGAAUCACGAGGCAAAAACAGAAAUUGGUUAGUUUAGGUUCGCACACUCGUAUCUACACUACACACCUAACAUAGCCAUCACCAAAUCUUUGGACUAGAUAAACAAAUCUUCACAAGCAUAAGAUCACUCAAACUUUCUUAUACCCAUAGGAAACAGCGUCUGCUAUGGCAUAUAACAAAAUAAGGAAGAGGUAACUGAAGGUGAAGUUUCUUGUCCCAUUUCGACUAAGCUUCUUUGUCGCGGCCAAGCCCAUCCCAAUUAUAGUAAUUAGCAAACCGAUGAUAACUAUUACGAGAGCAGUUAUGACAAAACAUGUCUUAGUUUCACAUUUUAGUAUUUUACAGCAUACGCAAUCAAUGUAAUAGAUGCUCCAAUUGUAAAAAUUCCAACCGUCUUAUUAUAAUCUCGAUCAGUUUUUAAAUCAUCCCCUUAAGCUGUAGCAAGAGCUCGUGCUGCAGCAUCUCCACCAUCAGCUUCAGCACCAACCGUUUCAAGCAUAUCAAGUGUUCUGUGUGGGACAGUGCUCAGAGAAGUUAUAGAAGAAAAUAGAUGCUAUCUUGGUAUACAAUUUGGUAGAUCAAAACAUGCUUAAUGAUACAUGUUAUAAUGUUGUUAUUAUACUUUGCCAGAUUAAAGGUUAGAAUGUACCAGCGAAAAUCCCAUAGAGGGCCAUAAAGAUGCGUUGAACAACGAACGAAAGCUGCGCAGGAGGGAGAGAUUUAAGUUCCACAGGAACGUUGGGUACAAGGACAUUCACUGCAUGAAGAGCCUUCUGCAAAAUUUUAUUAUUUACUUCUUCAAGGAAAUGCCCAUGGAAGAAUUCACUGAUUAUAAGAUGGGUGGACUAACCUCCCCUCUAAAUAUUCCUUUCUUAGAUAUUGACUAGAUAACUAGCCAGCUUGAGGGCUCCGAGCUGGCGACAGAGUUCCAUUACAUCCAUCAGAAGAUUGGUGCUUCUGCUUUUGUCAUCCGACCGACCUCGAUGAAACCCUAAAAAGUUUCCAUUGUGAUCUUUUGCCACUGCAAAAUAUCUUCCUGCUGCUUUAUCUGCAUCCGAUUUCGAUAAAAAGUUAACUUUUAGGGUCAAUCAUUUUAACAACCGAUUGGCCAAUGUUGAGGAGCCGGCGGGUGACGGAGUCUAAGGAGGUUCUUGUGAAUAAAUGGCCUGGCAUCGCUCUAUCGAAGAGAGGAUUCGUGGUGGUGUCCGGUUGAAGAGUCGGAGGCGCAAACGAACAAAUACUCGCCGCGGAGACGGGGCUCAACGGUGGUGGGGGCGGAUGGUCAGAGGGACAACGGUGGUGUCGGGAUGGUCGGACGCGCCUCUGUCAAAGCAGCACUCCCGUCGUCACAGCUGUUCGAACACAGGUGACGGUGGCAAACCUCAACCCAAACCCUAGCUGCUGAACUUAGUUUUCUUAUUGAGUUUAAAUUGUUAUUGCGUUUUCGAAACUCAAACCAAUCAGGUAUAAGUUUUUCAACUUAACAGGUUUGACCCGCAUUAAUUUGAAACCCGAAAUUCAUUUAGUGCUAGAUUUCAAGUUAAACAGAUUUGACCUGAUAUAACUUUAAACUGGAAACCCGAUUAUGAAUAGGAUAUAUGAUAUCGGGUAUGACUCGAACCCAAGUUCAAAACAAACUUAAUUUUGCAAAACGGGUCUGACUCGAGAACAAAACGCGAACCCGAACUUUGUUAGUUUUUAAUUUUAUUGUAAAAUUAUUGAAACCCCUGAUCGACCCAAAAAAAAUUCUAACCUCCAUCGGGUUCUCAAACAUGCUGUAAAUUUAGUUAUGGCCCCCUGAUUGAUCCAAAAAUUAUUUUGCAGUUCACCAGUUUAUUAAUUUGCUAUAAAAAUUAUUUUAGCUCCCUGAUUCAUGCUGAAAUUGUUUUAGAGCCCAUCUGAGUAUUAAGGCUAAUGUUUUAUUAGUCCCUAACUGUGGCGCAAAUUGUUUUAAUGUCCAUAUACAUGUAUAAUUUAGUUUCUUUUAUUGAAAAGAUUAUUCAACUCUUAUUGAAUUGUUAGGAUUGAUAUUGUAUCAUGUAUAUUUUUGAAAUACACGUGACAUGAAUGUGUUGAUUUUAAAUUGUUUAAAUUUAACAAUUCAUGUGAUUAAAGUAAUUGCGUGGAAAAUUACUGUUCGGUCCAGAAUAUGUUCUAAAUUUUUUAUUAAAUAUAAACAAUUUAAAACUUGUUAGAAAUUGACUGCUUAUUGAAAUUUUCUAUAUAAAUGAAAACUGCUGGACAAUCUUUAUUCUCAUUUCUCACAAUCUUUCUUAAGAUUUUACAGGGACCUGGCUUGAGUUUUGUGGGCACUGGCUACUUAAUGCAGCUCCAUCCUUCUUUGUCCAGGCUUAGGGCAAGCCUUGCAAGGACUAAUGUUUUAAGCAUGACAUUUGCAGAGUCUAGUCUCAACUGUUUAUUUUGCAAUAUGCUAUUUAGAAAUGAAGAUUCUAGCCUUUGCAGUGAUUUAAAUGUGAAAGUAUUUAAAGGCCAAGAGGGUAGAUAGACAUGCUGUACUUGCACAUGAACUGCUGGUUUUAGUAUGUUGUUGAGUAGAUUAUACUCUUAACAUCAAAAUAAAAUAGCGAAGCAGGGUUUGUACCUGACAAAGUCUUCCUUGCUGCUGACUUCAAUUUCUCCUUUUUUCGUGUUGUAAAUGCUUCAGAGAAAUCAAAGGCCAAAGGAGCAAGAAAUGGUGAGCUUGUUGCUGCCAAGGCUCAACAGACAUCAUCUCAGCUAGUCAAUCAUGGCCAGCGCCUGCCUGCUACAAAACCUGACAUUGUGAAUACUUCUCUGGCUGGGAAUUCUCAAGUCCUCAACGGAGAGAAGAAUGACACCUCUACUAAUCUCAUAGAUGGACCACCUGUAACUAUGACUAGCAAAGUGGCAACAUCAGUUGAUAGCGUUCCAUCAGUUAACAAUUCAAUUCCACAUUUGAAGUUGACGCCAACCAAUGCGAAACUCAAGCUAAUGGCGUAGGAGGCGAGAAGAAACCUCCAUUUGUCACAAGACAUAAACAACUCUUCUUUAAUUCCAUCCGGAAGCUAGCAGAAGAGAAAAGUUGUGUAUUGCAUCGUUAUUCUGAUCGUGAAGUGAGCUCUGCUACAUCAUCAUCUUCAUCCGAGCCAUCAAUGCCCAAUUCAGUGAUCAAAUCAGAUGAGCAGAUACUUGGAGUUUGUGCAGCUUCUGCCUGUGAGGAAAAGAACCUUCUUGCAACUUCGGAUUCUGGUUUAGAGCCUUCAGUUGCUGAGAAUGACAAUGACAAUAUGCGCAAUGAAGAACCUGAAACCUUAGUUGCUUUGGAUGAAGAAGAAAAAGCAUUUUUGGAUUCACUUGGAUGGAGCGAAAAUGCUGGGGAGUAUGGAGAUUGAGUCUUUUGUCUAGAGGCGUGAGGAGAAACUGGGACCAGUUCUCAAUUUCGAGGGGGGUCUUCCAGAGUCUCAGCAAGAUGGCAGUGAGUCUCGGCAGGAUGGCAGUGAGUCUCUACAAGAUGGUAGUGAGUCUUGGCGGGAUGGCAAUCUGGAUUGAGUUUGUCCAUCUUGGCGGGAUGGCGGCAAGUUUUAAUUUUUUUUUGUUAAUUGAUGGCGAUCGCGUUUGAAAGACAGGGAUCUGAUUGGAGCGAAGAGGAAUCAAAAGUCUAAGAUGUUUUCUCAAUGUGAAAGAGGGUGAGCUAUAAUUUUUUUCAGCCCUUUUGCUUCCUUCAAGAAUGUAAAAAAGAAUGCGUGGAAUGCAAAAUAAGAUGAUGGAUUGAUCGGAGUCAAGGAAGGUAGAUAUAAGUUUUCUAGAUAUCUGCACAGUAUUGGAAAUCUUAUUGCUUAAUUUUUCCUUUGAUGAAAAAAAAUGGUAUCUUUUGUUUA